CAGGACCAGAGACCCCUCCAGCGGGAGUGCCAUCUGCUGCUUCCUCCCAGGUGUGGGCUGCAGGACCAGCUGCCCAGGAAUGGCUUUCUCGGGACCUCCUGCACCGGCCUUCCGAUGUGCUGGCCAAGGCACGUCUAUGGCUGCAUCCUCUGCCCAUGGUUUCCUCCAAAGAGUCCGGUCCCCAUGAGGUAUCGGUAGACCCAGCUGGGCCUGAGGCCCUUCUCUUUCACCACCAUUCUUCCAAACAGAGCCUCACUCUGAUCCCCAAGAGCUCCCACCUGAGGGCAGCCCCCUUCAUCUGUCAGCCUGGAUCACAGCAGCCUCCCAGGGCCUUGAGACACAGCCAAGGGAGCCAGCGGGGGGGUCAGCAGCUAUGCACACAAACGGAGGGAGGGAAACUGAGGCACACCAGAGGACUGGAGACCCAGAGGUCACAGUUUCCUCCAGCUCUUUUUUUUUUUUGAGAUGGGGUCUUGCUUUGUCAUCCAGGCUGGAGUCCAGUGGCACGAUCUUGGCUUACUGCAGCCUCCACCUCCCAGAUUCAGGCGAUCCUCCUGCCUCAGCUUCCCGAGUAGCCGGGAUUACAGGCGCACGCCACCAUGCCCAGCUAAUUUUGUAUUUUUAGUAGAGAUGGAGUUUCACCAUGUUGGCCAGGCCGGUCUGGAACUCCUGGCCUCAAGUGAUCCACCCGCCUUGGCCUCCUAUUGUGUUGGGAUUACAGUCAUGAACCACCGCACCGGGUCCCUCGAACCCAUCUUUGGGCUGAGAUUCUCAGGGCAGCCGGAGCCCAUGUGUUCUUGUUUCUGAUACUUUUUCUCUCUCCACUUCUCUCUUGAUGAAGAAGGGGCUUGGACCAUUCCUGCAAACAGCCAAACCGGUGAGAAGAGGCCAGACAUCUGCCUCCAUUUUCCCCAGAGUGGUGCAAGCUCAGCGAGGUCCCCAGGCUCCCCCAGGGGAAGCAGGGUUCCCUGGACACCCCACACCUCCAGCCACGCUCCCCUCGGAGCCUGUAGAGGGUGUCCAGGCUAGUCCCUGGCGGCCACAUCCAGUCUUGCCAGCGCACCCGGCUCUGACCCUGCCCGUGUCCUCAGAUGCCUCCUCUCCUUCACCGCCAGCUCCGAAGCCUGAACGAUCUGAAUCGCUCCUGGUCUCAGGACCGUCUGUCACCCUGACUGAAGGUCUAGGAACUGUGAGGCCUGAGCAGGACCCUGCCAAGUCUCCAGGAAGUCCCCUCCUGCUGAGAGGGCUGUCAGGGGGGGAUGUGGCUGCACCCGAGCCCAUCAGGGGGGAGCCCGGCCAAGCCAGUGAGGAGUUCCAGCCAUUGACAAGGCCCUGGCGGGUCAGACUGGCUGCAGAGGAGCUGGUUUCUCACCAUUCUCCUAGAAAGCCCCAGGAAACAUCCUCUGGAAUGGAGGUGGAGAGGCCACGCCAGACAGGGCCUGGUCUCCCCAGGGAGGGGGCCAGGGGGCGCGUGGACGUUUCAUCCUCAGAACCAAGCCAGGACAUGGAGAGGCUGGGACUCUCCAUCCUGCUGGGGAGGGAUGCCACAUUCUCCACCCCAAGUGUGAGGCAGCCAGACCCCAGUGCCUGUGCCAGGGCCUCAGGACCCGAACUUACCGGGAUGCCCAGGGUGAGGCCGGCAGCGCCCCUGGCAGUUCUUCCUAUGGAACCUCUGCCACCAGAACCUGUUCACCCAGCAGCUCUUCUGACACCCGAAGCCUCAUCUGUAGGAUGGCCAGACCAGGCCCGAUACCUGGAGUCAGCCCCUGGCUGGCCUGUGGGCCAGGAGGAGUCGGGGGUUGCACACACAUCCAGCCCUCCAUCCACGCAAACCCUGAGCCUGUGGGCUCCCACAGGAGUGUCGAUACCCAGCCUGGUGGAGCUUGAACACCCCUUCCAGGCUGGCCGGGGGGCCUCACUCCAGCAGGAGUUGACAGAGCCCACCUUGGCCCUCAGUGCUGAAAGCCACAGGCCUCCUGAGCUUCAGGACAGUGUGGAGGGGCUUUCUGAGAGGCCCCCACGCUGAGCCUCCAUGGAGACUUCAGGCUGGUACCCCGCUGGCUUGGGCAGCCCCAGUGACCCUCAGUGACCCAGCUGCCCCCAGGCUCCCUUUCUUAUUUGCCCAGCUGUGGCUGGGUACAGUGUUCUGGGCCGGAAGAGCACUCACUCAGUGCUUCCCUGGAAAGGUAGACCCCCAGACGCCCACCUCCAGGCAGACCCAUCACUGGAAGUGGGAUUUGAAAUGCAGCCAAGAAGAGGAGACCGUCGGCAACGCCCGCCCGGAACAAGAAAUAAAUAAAUAAAUAAUCAGGGU
rnacentral:sRNA from 1 species